UUAUUUGAGAGUUUGAUCCUGGCUCAGGAUGAACGCUGGCGGCGUGCCUAACACAUGCAAGUUGAGCGAUUUACUUCGGUAAAGAGCGGCGGACGGGUGAGUAACGCGUGGGUAACCUACCCUGUACACACGGAUAACAUACCGAAAGGUAUGCUAAUACGGGAUAACAUAUUUGAGAGGCAUCUCUUGAAUAUCAAAGGUGAGCCAGUACAGGAUGGACCCGCGUCUGAUUAGCUAGUUGGUAAGGUAACGGCUUACCAAGGCGACGAUCAGUAGCCGACCUGAGAGGGUGAUCGGCCACAUUGGAACUGAGACACGGUCCAAACUCCUACGGGAGGCAGCAGUGGGGAAUAUUGCACAAUGGGCGAAAGCCUGAUG
rnacentral:rRNA from 1 species